GGGGGUGGGGGGUGGCUUAGUGAAAGAGUCUCUGCUUUGCAUGCAAGAGAUUUAAGGUUCGAUCCCCGACAUCUCCA
rnacentral:tRNA from 1 species